UGGGGAAUAUUGCGCAAUGGGGGCAACCCUGACGCAGCAACGCCGCGUGCGGGACGACGGCCUUCGGGUUGUAAACCGCUUUCAGCAGGGAAGAUCGUGACGGUACCUGCAGAAGAAGCCCCGGCUAACUACGUGCCAGCAGCCGCGGUAAUACGUAGGGGGCGAGCGUUAUCCGGAUUCAUUGGGCGUAAAGCGCGCGCAGGCGGCCCGCCAAGCGGAACCUCUAACCCCGGGGCUCAACCUCGGGCCGGGUUCCGGACUGGCGGGCUCGAGUGCGGUAGAGGCAGGCGGAAUUCCCGGUGUAGCGGUGGAAUGCGCAGAUAUCGGGAAGAACACCGAUGGCGAAGGCAGCCUGCUGGGCCGUUCACUGACGCUGAGGCGCGAAAGCUGGGGGAGCGAACAGGA
rnacentral:rRNA from 1 species